rnacentral:rRNA from 1 species
AACGAACGCUGGCGGCGUGCUUAACACAUGCAAGUCGAACGUGAAAGACUUCGGUCGAGUAAAGUGGCGAACGGGUGAGUAACGCGUGGGUAAUCUGCCCUCGGGCGGGGGAUAACCUCUCGAAAGGGGGCUAAUACCGCAUGAGACCACGGCUUCUUGGAGCUGUGGGAAAAGGUGGGUCGCAAGACCAGCCACCUGAGGAUGAGCCCGCGUACCAUUAGGUAGUUGGUGGGGUAAUGGCCUACCAAGCCUGAGAUGGUUAGCUGGUCUGAGAGGACGAUCAGCCACACUGGGACUGAGACACGGCCCAGACUCCUACGGGAGGCAGCAGUGGGGAAUAUUGCGCAAUGGGGGAAACCCUGACGCAGCAACGCCGCGUGUGUGAAGAAGGCCUCGGUCGU